AUUCAUGAAUUUUGCUAGUAAAUCGAAGUGUCUGCGUUGCUCUGAGCAAAGACCCAAGAAACAUCCCGGGGACUGGAGUUGCUCCAACUGUGGUUUCAUGAAUUUUGCUAGUAAAGUGAAGUGCUUGCAUUGUCAAGAGCCAAGUCCUAAUUCUAACAAAUAUCAAAAUCCCGGGGAUUGGAGUUGUCCUAAGUGUAAUUUCUACAAUUAUGCAAGAAAUAAGGAUUGUCUGAAGUGCAACAUUGAACGACCUAAAGAGCAACCAACCAGUGAGCAUGAGGAGCAUGUUUGGAAAAGAUCAUAUUGAUGAAGAGAUGCCAUAGGCCGACAUUUGCAUGGUGGAGUCAAAUGUGGGUUUUCUUUCCAGUUUAUUUUCUUGUCAUUUCAUUAGAAAGAUACACA